rnacentral:RNase_P_RNA from 1 species
GGCGAAAGCUGAGGAAAGUCCGGGCUCCACAGGGCAGGAUGCUGGCUAACGGCCAGUGGGGGCGACCCUAAGGAAAGUGCCACAGAAAACAAACCGCCUUCGGGUAAGGAUGAAACGGUGCGGUAAGAGCGCACCAGCGGCUGGGUGACCAGUCGGCUUGGUAAACCCCAUCCGGAGCAAGACCUAAUAAAAACGAUAACGCGGCCCGCGUUGUUUUGGGUAGGUCGCUGGAGAUGCGUGGCAACACGUAUCCAAGAUAGAUGAUCGCUGAUACAGAACCCGGCUUAUUACCU